GGAGUUAGCCGGUGCUUCUUCUGUGAGUGAUGUCCUUCCUGCCGGCUAUUAACCCGCAGGCCUUCUUCCUCACUGAAAGUGCUUUACAACCCGAAGGCCUUCUUCACACACGCGGCAUGGCUGGAUCAGGGUUGCCCCCAUUGUCCAAUAUUCCCCACUGCUGCCUCCCGUAGGAGUCUGGGCCGUGUCUCAGUCCCAGUGUGGCUGAUCAUCCUCUCAGACCAGCUACGGAUCGUCGCCUUGGUGAGCCGUUACCUCACCAACCAGCUAAUCCGACAUAGGCUCAUCCGAUAGCGCGAGGCCCGAAGGUCCCCCGCUUUCCCCCGUAGGGCGUAUGCGGUAUUAGCCUGGGUUUCCCCAGGUUAUCCCCCACUACCGGGCAGAUUCCUAUGCAUUACUCACCCGUCCGCCGCUCGCCACCAGGGAGCAAGCUCCCCGUGCUGCCGCUCGACUUGCAUGUGUUAGGCCUGCCGCCAGCGUUCAUCUGAGCCAGAAUACAACUCUGA
rnacentral:rRNA from 1 species